UUAAAAUUAAAUAUAAAAUUUAAUUUUUGAUUAAAUAUAAUUACUUAAAUAUAUUUAUUAAUAAAAUUAAUUAAAUUUAAAACUUAUUUAAAAAACUAGGAUUAGAUACCCUAUUAUUAUAAACUAAACAUAAAAUUAAAAAUUAAAUUUAAAAUAAUUAAAUUUAAAAAAUUUGACGGUAUUUUAACUUUUUAGGGGAAUUUAUUUAUUAAUUGAUAAUACACGAUAAAAAAUACUUAAAUCUUAUAUUUAUAUACUUCUGUUUAGAUUAAAUUUUAUAAUCAUUUAUCAUAAUCUUUAUAAAAAAAUAAUUCAAGUCAAAGUUUAAUUUAUAUUUAAGAUUAAAUGAAUUACUAAAAUAUUAUUAAUUAAUAAAUUAUUUAAUUAUUUAAUAAUUUUAAAAGAACUUAAAAAUAAAAUUAAAUAAUUAUUUAAUUUAAAAAAAGAUUUUUAAUAUGUACAUAUAGCCCGUCAUUCUUGUUAACUAAACAAGACAAGUCGUAACAAAGUAAAAAUACUGGAAAGUAUUUUUAGAAUUU
rnacentral:rRNA from 1 species